UUACAGUUACUUCUUUUACAAAACAAAACAAUCUGUUAGGUUUUGGUUACAAUAUUAUUCAUUACUUACAACUAAUAUUAAAAUUUUCCUUCUUUCUCUGUUUUGAAAGUGUUAUAUAGCGUAAGAAUUCUCUAAUUUUUUUUUUUUUUUUUCUUGAGACGGAGUCUCGCUCUGUCGCCCAGGCUGGAGUGCAGUGGCGCGAUCUCGGGUCACUGCAAGCUCCACCUCCUGGGUUCACGCCAUUCUCCUGCCUCAGCCUCCCGGGGAAGCUGGAACUACAGGCAACCGCCACCACACCCGGCUAAUUUUUUGUAUUUUUAGUAGAGACGGGGUUUCACCGUGUUAGCCAGGAUGGUCUCGAUCUCCUGACCUAGUGAUCCGCCCGCCUCGGCCUCCCGAAGUGCUGGGAUUACAGGCGUGAGCCACUGCGCCCGGCCAAGAAUUCUCUAAUCUUUACAUGCUUAGUGGAACUCUCCCAGGAAAGCAUCUACUCUCAGGACUUGGAAAGGCCAAGAACUAUAUGUUUAAAACCCUUAACAACAACAACAACAACAAAAUCAAUAAGGCAGCUCAACGAAAUAAUUCAGCACGAGAUCGCUAUUAAAAUCAAUUUACCUGGCAGUGAGAACAACUAAAUUUGGGCCAAAGUGAUGAACUAUCAUGCUUGGAUGUCCAAAAUUCCCAUGUAAUGCUUCCAAGUAAUAGUCUUCAAAACAAUUAAGAUGGAUGCUCCAAAUAUGGAAGGAAGAGGUUACUAUCCAAUAUCAGAAACAAGACAUUCUAUCAGAGAUAGAGAACAGAUUGACAGCUUUCCAAUUGCAACUGGAAUUUCCACAGUCCUUCAUUGGUAAUAGUGCAUCAUUGAAUAAUUGUUAAGAGUGUGAACUUUGGCUCUGCCACUUACCACAUCUGAGAUCCUGAGGGAGUUACUUAAGCUCUCAGUUCCACAUUUUCUUCAACAAUUACAUGAGAAAAGUAAUGGUAUAAACUGCAUAGGUUUUCAUGAUGAUUAAAUGAGUAUAUAUAUAUAUAUAUAUAUAUAACAAUGGCUGGCACCUUAAUUAGUAGGCACUGAAAAAUUGUUAGCUUUUUUUUCUUUCCACUUUUCAUUUAUUUCCUCACUUACUCAUUCUGUUGACACACAUUCCAAAAGGACUUCUAUGUGAUGAUCCUUGUCAUGAAAAGUGGUAUUGAUGAGGUGAAAUGUAAUAAAGCCUUAGAUGUAUUUUAAUUGUUUGAAGAAAUUGAGAAAUUCUACUGAGUAUUAAGCAGUAAAGUUGUAUUUAUACAUGUUAUUAAUUGUUAUCAAUUGCUAGUAGUUUUCUAUUCAGCCCUUUAUACUUUGUAUCUGUUCAGUCAUUUCUUUCUGUUUCGAAGCAGUUACCAGCUGCAAUUUGUUACUGGCUCCUCCUGUCUCCUAUUAAUAGGUUUAUAAGUCAAUACUCCAGUAAGAGAUACUGCUGCAAUUUAAAUUAGUAAUGAUAAAAUAUUAUGUAAGAAGGAUGACUGCAGGGAAGCUGAUACAAAUAUGCCUCGUUGUUUUUCCCCAAGAAGCAGUUUAUAAAUAAAAUGUGACUUGUUUAUGUUUUGGUUCAUUGUCAUUUUAUUUUCUCUAGAUAAAAUUUGCAGGAGU
rnacentral:lncRNA from 1 species